UACGUAGGGGGCAAGCGUUGUCCGGAUUUAUUGGGCGUAAAGCGCACGCAGGCGGUCUGCCAAGUUCGGAGUGACAGUUUCCGGCUUAACCGGAAAAAGGUCUUCGAAAACUGGUGGACUUGAGGACUUGAGGGGGAGACGGAAUUCCUGGUGUAGCGGUGGAAUGCGCAGAUAUCAGGAGGAACACCGGUGGCGAAGGCGGGUCUCUGGGCAGGUGAACUGACGCUGGAGGAGCGAAAGCGUGGGGAGC
rnacentral:rRNA from 1 species